rnacentral:rRNA from 1 species
GACGAACCGUGCGAAGGUUAUUCGGAAUCACUGGGCUUAAAGGGCGCGUAGGCGGGCCGCCAAGUUCGGGGUGAAAUCCUCCAGCUUAACUGGAGAAGUGCCUCGGAUACUGGCGAUCUCGAGGAGGGUAGGGGCAUCUGGAACUAGCGGUGGAGCGGUGAAAUGCGUUGAUAUCGCUAGGAACUCCGGUGGCGAAGGCGAGGUGCUGGACCCUUUCUGACGCUGAGGCGCGAAAGCCAGGGGAGCGAACGGG